GACGAACGCUGGCGGCGUGCUUAACACAUGCAAGUCGAACGGAAAGGCCCUGCUUUUGUGGGGUGCUCGAGUGGCGAACGGGUGAGUAACACGUGAGUAACCUGCCCUUGACUUUGGGAUAACUUCAGGAAACUGGGGCUAAUACCGGAUAGGAGCUCCUGCUGCAUGGUGGGGGUUGGAAAGUUUCGGCGGUUGGGGAUGGACUCGCGGCUUAUCAGCUUGUUGGUGGGGUAGUGGCUUACCAAGGCUUUGACGGGUAGCCGGCCUGAGAGGGUGACCGGCCACAUUGGGACGGGGAUACGGCCCAGCCCCCUAGGGGGGGCAGCGGGGGGGAAUAUUGCACAAGGGGCGGAAGCCUGAUGCAGCAACGCCGGGUGGGGGAUGACGGCCUUCGGGUUGUAAACCGCUUUCGCCUGUGACGAAGCGGGGGUGACGGUAAUGGGUAAAGAAGCACCGGCUAACUACGU
rnacentral:rRNA from 1 species